UAUGAGUUUGAUCCUGGCUCAGAAUGAACGCUUGCGAUAGGCUUAACACAUGCAAGUUGAACAAAAAGACUAUUUUUUUGUAGCGAACGGGUGCGUACAAUGUAGGAAUUUACCUCUUUAAAAAAGUUAAAUGCUUUGAAAAAACAAGUUGUUGUAAAGAGAUAAGCCUGCAGAAGAUUAGAUAGUUGGUGUGGGAAGGGCGCACCAAGUCAAAGAUCUUUAGCUGGUCUUAGCGGAUGAUCAGCCACACUGGGACUGAGACACGGCCCAGGCUCCCAUGGGAGACAGCAGUGAGGAAUCAUGGACAAUGCACGAAAGUGUGAUCCUGCUAUAUCGCGUGAGUGAUGAAGGGUAUAUUGCUUGUAAAACUCUUUCAGCAAGAACAUGCUUGCAUGUGAAUGGAUAGUGACGUGUCUUGCAAAAGAAGCCCCGGCUAAUAUCUGUGCCAGCAGCCGCGGUAAUACAGAAGGGGCAAGUGUUAUUCGGAAUAAUUGGGCGUAAAUGGCGUGUAGGUUGUGUUUCGUAGCUUUUUGUUAAAUCCCCAUUGUUAAAAUGGGUCACGCGAAAAGAACGGUUACACUGGAGACUGAGAGAGGAAAGGGGAAUUUCUAGUGGAGAAGUUAAAUUCUUAGAUAUUAGAAGGAACACCAAAAGCGAAAGCACCUUUCUGGCUCAGAUCUGACACUGAGGCGCGAAGGCGUGGGGAGCGAA
rnacentral:rRNA from 1 species